AGGCAGGAGGGCCAUCAAGGUGGCCCGCUGGUUUGUGCCAGGCACGCCCUCACUGGUGUGACCACAGGUCGCGUGACCCCCGCGAGCGACCAUCUAGACAUUCGUUCGAAGGAAAGCCGGGUGGCAUCGAAGUCGGAGUCAGGCGUGAAUUCGUAGCGUGAUUUCCGUGAUUGACAAGAAGAGCCGUACGCAUGAAUCAUGGCGGAGGUCGUGGUUUGGAAAAGGAUGGAUGGAAAACUUAUCACUUCAGAGAAGCGGCAGGGCCUGUCCUUCAAUCGAAUAAAUGCGGCAGCUCUUGCUAUAUUUAAUCACGGGACAAGCAGAUGAGAUUCACCACGAAUAAAACCGCGCCUUCUCACGCAACAAGUCCUCUUCGAUUUUGGCUGGAACUCUGCCACCCUCAGCGCCAGAGCAGUACCAGAACUCCGGGGAACGACAUAGUGUCAGAACCGCGGAAAUGUGUUUAAAUAUGUUACAGCCUUCGAUUGCGUCGUCUGUUCGCAUGCAGAGUGGUCGAUACACAAUCGCCCAGUAAUGUCGGUCGACGACGGCGAGAGCUUGGAUCUCUCGCACACAGACACGGACGGAGUUAUUCUAAUGCAUCCGUACUCGACUACAGAAUAGGGGCCUUACUGCGAAAAAGUGUAGAUACAGUCCGAUGACGAUUCCCCGAAAGUGUAACCACUCUCAAGAAAUCACAGUAAAGGGUGAGCCACCCACUGCAUUCAUAUUGUGGGCGUAAGGCCACAGGCUCGCCCUAGCCCUUCAGGAGCAACGUACGGAGGUACACGGGCGGGCUUGCGAUCCCUCCGAAUGUAACUUCGCUUCUCAAGCACAUGUGACAC
rnacentral:lncRNA from 1 species